AGUGGGAUAGCUGGGUUAAAUGGUGGUUCUAUUCAAAGUUUUCUAAGGAAUCUCCAUACUGCUUUCCAGAUUGCUUGCACUAAUAUGCAUUCCCACCAGCAGU
rnacentral:pre_miRNA from 1 species